CGCGAUGCAGCUGCAGACCUCCAGCAGGAUGUUUCCCUGAGGAGGGUUCCUCUGGUACAGCCGGCUGCCACACAUGAACACGACUGCCACACACAGAGGAGGCGUCAGGAGGAGGAGAGAGGAAAGGAAGAGUCAGGAGGAGGAGAGAGGAGUCAGGAGGAAGAGUCAGGAGGAAGAGUGAGGAGGAAGAGUGAGGAGUCAGGAGGAAGAGAGGAGAGGAAGAGAGAGGAGUCAGGAGGAGGAGAGAGGAGGAGAGGAGUCAGGAGGAAGAGUCAGGAGUCAGGAGGAGGAGAGGAGUGAGGAG
ensembl:lncRNA